GGAGCAUUUUAAUCCCUGUUUGAGUGAAGAGCAUCUGUUGUUCAUGCUGGCAGAGGUGGCUGUUGUGUCCAUACAUGGGGAUCAAAAUGUAUGCAGUAUGAGCUUCAAAUGAAAUAAUUCAUAUUUUUGAGCAAAAAGCAAGAUCUGUGCUCUGAUCUCAGCGAUAUUACACAUGAAGUUUCACAGUGGGACUUCAUCCUGUUUGUCUAUACUGCAAAAUCACCAAAUAAUCUGGCAAAAAAAUUAGAGGGAGGUGUUACAAGUCUCUGAAGAUGAGUGGUCUGAGCCAUAGGGAGCCUCUCUCCACCUACAUGUUUGUCCUGUAGCAGCUUAGUUUGUGCUUAUAACACCUGUCUCACAAAAGAGUUCACCAACAAACUGAUAAACGCUGCCACCAAAACGCUUUGAAGAAACAAAAUAUAUUAACUACAUGUACAAACCAUUGUCAAUAAAA